AAUAAUAGGGAAGGGAACAUGACAAGCACAAGUUUAGGGUCUCAUACACAGAAGUGGCUUUUUUGAUUGCAUGCAUACAAACAUAAAUACAUUUUAUUAUGAAUGUUCAUAUUUGAAUUUUAGCAGAGUUGUAAAUAGAACAAUUCAUUGAAUACACACAAAGGGAACUCCAUGGUGCGGCUCGAGCCGACACAUCGCCAUGCGACAAAACGCAUGCGAUAUGUUGGAUGUUUUGAAGAUACAGGAAGCCAAGGAGAAAUCGCAGGAAUUAAUUGGCCAGCUAGAAAAUACACAUUACGGAACUCCUGCCGUGAUAAGGUCCUUCCAGCUGACACAUGGGCACCCAUUUCGAUUA